UGGGGAAUAUUGCACAAUGGGCGAAAGCCUGAUGCAGCAACGCCGCGUGAGUGAUGAAGGCCUUCGGGUUGUAAAGCUCUGUCUUUUGGGACGAUAAUGACGGUACCAAAGGAGGAAGCCACGGCUAACUACGUGCCAGCAGCCGCGGUAAUACGUAGGUGGCAAGCGUUGUCCGGAUUUACUGGGCGUAAAGGAUGCGUAGGCGGAUUUUUAAGUGAGAUGUGAAAUACCCGGGCUUAACUUGGGUGCUGCAUUUCAAACUGGGAAUCUAGAGUGCGGGAGAGGAGAAUGGAAUUCCUAGUGUAGCGGUGAAAUGCGUAGAGAUUAGGAAGAACACCAGUGGCGAAGGCGAUUCUCUGGACCGUAACUGACGCUGAGGCAUGAAAGCGUGGGUAGCAAACAGGAUUAGAUACCCUGGUAGUCCACGCCGUAAACGAUGAGUACUAGGUGUAGGAGGUAUCGACCCCUUCUGUGCCGCAGUUAACACAAUAAGUACUCCGCCUGGGAAGUACGAUCGCAAGAUUAAAACUCAAAGAAUUGACGGGGUCAUAGCUG
rnacentral:rRNA from 1 species